rnacentral:rRNA from 1 species
CAUGCCGUAAACGAUGAGUGCUAAGUGUUGGGAGGUUUCCGCCUCUCAGUGCUGCAGCUAACGCAUUAAGCACUCCGCCUGGGGAGUACGACCGCAAGGUUGAAACUCAAAGGAAUUGAC